GGAUUCACUUUUCUAUUUUGCUAGCUUGCCACUAUAUGUUGCUAGACGUCACUGGUGGAUCGUGAGAACUCACUAAAAUCAUUUUCGGAUCAACGAUCUUUGCUGAGGUAAGUUGGAAUCGUUUCAGUCCAUCGAAAAGAGUUUCGAUGAUACUGUGAUGGAGAUCACGAUAUGUCUCACUAUCAAACAGAAUAGAACCUGAGGAGUCACAUACAAAAAGAGCUUAACCUGAUCAAUGGCUUGGAUUAUAUUUGAAUUAUCAAUUAGAUUGAUAGUUUGAAUAUUAGAAACUGCUAAUUUGUAACCGUUACAGUUUUGACAACUACUAAUUGUUAGCGCAAGGACUUAAUUGCAAGUAUUAUAAUUUUUUUGAGGCUGAUUAAAUUAUAAAUUAAAUUUUAAUUAAUUUAAUUCAGAUUUAAUUUAAUUAGACUUAAUUUAAUUUAAUAUUAAUUGGAUUCAAU
rnacentral:lncRNA from 1 species